AAUAGCUCACUAGUCGAGUCGGCCUGCGCGGAAGAUGUAACGGGGCUCAAACUGGAUACCGAAGCUGCGGCUGCAUACUAUGUAUGCGGGGUAGGGGAGCGUUGUGUAAGUCUGUGAAGGUGUGUUGAGAAGCAUGCUGGAGAUAUCACAAGUGCGAAUGCUGACGUGAGUAACGAUAAUGGGAGUGAAAAACUCCCACGCCGAAAGACCAAGGUUUCCUGCGCAACGCUAAUCGGCGCAGGGUGAGUCGGCCCCUAAGGCGAGGCAGAAAUGCGUAGCUGAUGGGAAACGGGUUAAUAUUCCCGUACUUCUUAUAACUGCGAUGGAGAGACGGAGAAGGCUAUGCCUACCGGGCGUUGGUUGUCCCGGGGAAAGGCUGUAGGCUGAGGUGUUAGGCAAAUCCGGCACCUUAAGGCUGAGAGUCGAGACCACUGGUCCUUUGUGACCGGGAAGUGGUUGAUGCCAUGCUUCCAGGAAAAUCUUCUAAGCUUCAGGUUAUAAGGAACCGUACCCCAAACCGACACAGGUGGUUGGGAUGAGUAUUCUAAGGCGCUUGAGAGAACUCGGGUGAAGGAACUAGGCAAAGUGGUACCGUAACUUCGGGAGAAGGUACGCCGCUGAAGGUGAUGAGACUUGCUCUCUGAGCUAUCGGCGGUCGCAGUGAAAAGGCCCCUGCAACUGUUUAUUAAAAACACAGCACUCUGCAAACGCGUAAGCGGACGUAUAGGGUGUGACGCCUGCCCGGUGCCGGAAGGUUAAUUGAUGGGGUUAGCGUAUGCGAAGCUCUUGAUCGAAGCCCCGGUAAACGGCGGCCGUAACUAUAACGGUCCUAAGGUAGCGAAAUUCCUUGUCGGGUAAGUUCCGACCUGCACGAAUGGCGUAAUGAUGGGGGCGCUGUCUCCACCCGAGACUCAGUGAAAUCGAAAUCGCAGUGAAGAUGCUGUGUACCCGCGGCUAGACGGAAAGACCCCGUGAACCUUUACUAUAGCUUCACAGUGGACUUUGAACCUGUUUGUGUAGGAUAGCUGGGAGACUUUGAAGCAGUGACGCUAGUUACUGUGGAGUCGUCCUUGAAAUACCAGCCUGGCAUGUUUGAGGUUCUAACCUAGGUCCCUUAUCGGGAUCGGGGACAUUGUGUGGUGGGUAGUUUGACUGGGGCGGUCUCCUCCCAAAGAGUAACGGAGGAGC
rnacentral:rRNA from 1 species